rnacentral:rRNA from 1 species
GACGAACGCUGGCGGCGUGCUUAACACAUGCAAGUCGAACGAUGAAGAAAAGAAUUGAAGCUUCGGCAGAAAUUCAUUUCGGAUUAGUGGCAGACGGGUGAGUAACGCGUGAGCAACCUACCUCUUACAAAGGGAUAGCCUCGGGAAACCGGGAUUAAUACCAUAUAACAUUGCGACGAAGCAUUUCGAUGCAAUCAAAGCUACGGCGGUAAGAGAUGGGCUCGCGUCCCAUUAACCAGAUGGUGAGGUAACGGCUCACCAUAGUAACGCUGGGUAACCGGCCUGAGAGGGUGAACGGUCACACUGGAACUGAGACACGGUCCAGACUCCUACGGGAGGCAGCAGUGGGGAAUAUUGCACAAUGGAGGGAACUCUGAUGCAGCGACGCCGCGUGAGUGAUGAAGGAAUUCGUUUCGUAAAACUCUGUUCUAUGGGAAGAAAAGGACUGUACCAUAGGAGAAAGCUCCGGCUAAAUACGUG